rnacentral:rRNA from 1 species
UACGUAGGGUGCGAGUGUUGUCCGGAAUUACUGGGCGUAAAGAGCUCGUAGGUGGUUUGUCGCGUUGUUCGUGAAAACCGGGGGCUUAACCCUCGGCGUGCGGGCGAUACGGGCAGACUUGAGUACUGCAGGGGAGACUGGAAUUCCUGGUGUAGCGGUGGAAUGCGCAGAUAUCAGGAGGAACACCGGUGGCGAAGGCGGGUCUCUGGGCAGUAACUGACGCUGAGGAGCGAAAGCGUGGGGAGCGAACAGG